AGACAGAGGGUGCAAGCGUUGUCCGGAUUGACUGGGUGUAAAGGGCGUGUAGGCGGCCGAGUAAGUCUGACGUGAAAACAUCACCGCUCAACGGGAUGUACGCGUUGGAAACUGUUCGGCUUGAGUACAGGAGAGGUUAACGGAAUUCCAGGUGUAGCGGCGGAAUGUGUAGAUAUCUGGAGGAACACCGGUGGCGAAAGCGGUUAACUGGCCUGUGACUGACGCUGAGGCGCGAAAGCCAGGGGAGC
rnacentral:rRNA from 1 species